ACGGAGGAUCCGAGCGUUAUCCGGAUUUAUUGGGUUUAAAGGGAGCGUAGGCGGGCGCUUAAGUCAGUUGUGAAAGUUUGCGGCUCAACCGUAAAAUCGCAGUUGAUACUGGGCGCCUUGAGUACAGCAUAGGCAGGCGGAAUUCGUGGUGUAGCGGUGAAAUGCUUAGAUAUCACGAAGAACUCCGAUUGCGAAGGCAGCUUGCUGGAGUGUAACUGACGCUGAUGCUCGAAAGUGUGGGUAUCAAACAGGAUUAGAUACCCUGGUAGUCCACACAGUAAACGAUGAAUACUCGCUGUUUGCGAUAUAUUGUAAGCGGCCAAGCGAAAGCGUUAAGUAUUCCACCUGGGGAGUACGCCGGCAACGGUG
rnacentral:rRNA from 1 species